rnacentral:rRNA from 1 species
UAACGCGUAUGCAACCUACCUUCAAUUGGGGGAUAACUCUGGGAAACUGGAAUUAAUACCGCAUAAGAUAGUAAUGCUUCAUGGCAUAGCUAUUAAAGAUUUAUCGAUUGAAGAUGGGCAUGCGUGACAUUAGCUAGUUGGCGAGGUAACGGCUCACCAAGGCAACGAUGGGUAGGGGUCCUGAGAGGGAGAUCCCCCACACUGGUACUGAGACACGGACCAGACUCC